rnacentral:tRNA from 1 species
GGGGUUGUGGCUCAGUGGAAGAGUGCUUGCCUAGCAAGCGUGAGGCACUAGGUUCGAUCCCCAGCACCA